rnacentral:rRNA from 1 species
GCCAUUCCGCGUGCAGGACGAAGGCCUUCGGGUUGUAAACUGCUUUUGUACGGAACGAAAAGGUCUCUAUUAAUACUAGGGGCUCAUGACGGUACCGUAAGAAUAAGCACCGGCUAACUACGUGCCAGCAGCCGCGGUAAUACGUAGGGUGCAAGCGUUAAUCGGAAUUACUGGGCGUAAAGCGUGCGCAGGCGGUUAUAUAAGACAGAUGUGAAAUCCCCGGGCUCAACCUGGGAACUGCAUUUGUGACUGUAUAGCUGGAGUGCGGCAGAGGGGGAUGGAAUUCCGCGUGUAGCAGUGAAAUGCGUAGAUAUGCGGAGGAACACCGAUGGCGAAGGCAAUCCCCUGGGCCUGCACUGACGCUCAUGCACGAAAGCGUGGGGAGCAAACAGGAUUAAAUACCCUGGUAGUCCACGCCCUAAACGAUGUCAACUGGUUGUUGGGUCUUCACUGACUCANUAACGAA